GAUUCUGGCUCAGGAUGAACGCUGGCGGCGUGCCUAAUACAUGCAAGUCGAACGAGGUGGAAGGGAGCUUGCUCCUGGAUGCCUAGUGGCGAACGGGUGAGUAACACGUAGGUAACCUGCCCUUAAGCUUGGGAUACCCAGAGGAAACUUUGGCUAAUACCGGAUAACAACAGAGGAGGCAUCUCCUUUGCUUGAAAGGCCCUUUACGGGGUCACUUAAGGAUGGACCUGCGGCGCAUUAGUUAGUUGGUGAGAUAACAGCCCACCAAGACGAGGAUGCGUAGCCGACCUGAGAGGGUGAUCGGCCACAUUGGAACUGAGACACGGUCCAAACUCCUACGGGAGGCAGCAGUAAGGAGUUUUCGGCAAUGGGGGAAACCCUGACCGAGCAACGCCGCGUGAGUGAAUGACGGCCCUAUGGGUUGUAAAGCUCUGUUGUAAGGGACGAAUGAUCCGCUUAGGAAAUGAAGCGGGUUUGACGGUACCUUACCAGAAAGCCACGGCUAACUACGUGCCAGCAGCUGC
rnacentral:rRNA from 1 species